rnacentral:rRNA from 1 species
UACGUAGGGUGCAAGCGUUAUCCGGAUUCACUGGGCUUAAAGGGUGCGUAGGUGGGUUGGUAAGUCAGUGGUGAAAUCUCCAGGCUUAACUUGGAAACUGCCAUUGAUACUAUCAAUCUUGAAUACCGUGGAGGUCAGCGGAAUAUGUCAUGUAGCGGUGAAAUGCUUAGAUAUGACAUAGAACACCAAUUGCGAAGGCAGCUGGCUAGACGAAUAUUGACACUGAUGCACGAAAGCGUGGGGAGCAAACAGG